rnacentral:rRNA from 1 species
CUAACAAGGAUUCCCUUAGUAACGGCGAGUGAACAGGGAUUAGCCCAGCACCGAAGCCUGUGGCCAUUUGGUUACUAGGCAAUGUGGUGUUUAGGUCGUUCCGCAGAGACACUGCUCCACUCCAAGUCCAGCAAUGAGUACGGUAGUACAGACUUGGCCCAUAGAGGGUGAAAGGCCCGUGGGGGUGGAGAUUCAGGCAGGUUAGUGUCUCUCUGGAUAGACCUUGGAGUCGGGUUGUUUGUGAAUGCAGCCCAAAGCGGGUGGUAAACUCCAUCCAAGGCUAAAUACUAGCACGAGUCCGAUAGCGAACAAGUACCGUGAGGGAAAGUUGAAAAGUACUUUGAAGAGAGAGUAAACAGUGCGUGAAACCGCUCAGAGGUAAACGGGUGGAGUUGAACUGCAAGCCUUGAGAAUUCAGCUGGUGAGUGUGGUUUGAGCUUGGUCAAAUUGGUUGUACUCUGGGGUCUGCGUAGUAGCAGGUCUCUGCCUUCGGGUGGGGAUGUACGAAUCGCUUAUCAAGCGUUGUGCGCUUCAGUUGUAUUCGGGCCUGCUUGCCAGUGCACUUUCUCUUGGUGUUCACCACGACCGGCACUGCUGUCUGGCUGUUGUGGUUAAACCGGCCUUGCAUUGUCCUUGUGGCUUUGUUUGGUCGGGACGGCAGGUAGCUCGUUGGCUAGUCUGGGGUAACCUGGGCAAUUGGUCUUCGGGUGUAAUCAGCUGACCAUGAUGGUUCUGUGCGGUGUGUCGGAGACGGCGGCUUGUUGUGUGAGCGCGCGUGCCUUGUCUUCUGACUUGUUUGGGUUUGAUUGCUAUGUUGCUUGUUCUGCAGGCCUGGUGAUAUCCUGAGCAUGUUUGGUUGGCGGUGGCGUGUGUGACACUAAUACAGGGCCAAUAGUCUGUGGUGUAGUGGUAGAC